CUCCUACGGGAGGCAGCAGUGGGGAAUAUUGGGCAAUGGGCGCAAGCCUGACCCAGCAACGCCGCGUGAAGGAAGAAGGCCCUCGGGUUGUAAACUUCUUUUAUCAAGGACGAAACAAAUGACGGUACUUGAUGAAUAAGCCACGGCUAACUACGUGCCAGCAGCCGCGGUAAUACGUAGGUGGCAAGCGUUGUCCGGAAUUACUGGGUGUAAAGGGAGCGCAGGCGGGAAGCCAAGUCAGCUGUGAAAACUACGGGCUUAACUUGUAGACUGCAGUUG
rnacentral:rRNA from 1 species